GGUCUCAUGGCCCAAUGGCAAGGCGUCUGACUACGAAUCAGGAGAUUGUGGGUUCGAUCCCCACUGAGACCU